AGAGUUUGAUCCUGGCUCAGGACGAACGCUGGCGGCACGCUUAACACAUGCAAGUCGAACGAGAGAAGAGGAGCUUGCUUUUCUGAUCUAGUGGCGGACGGGUGAGUAACACGUGAGCAAUCUGCCUUUCAGAGGGGGAUACCGAUUGGAAACGAUCGUUAAUACCGCAUAACAUAAUUGAACCGCAUGAUUUGAUUAUCAAAGAUUUAUCGCUGAAAGAUGAGCUCGCGUCUGAUUAGCUAGUUGGUAAGGUAACGGCUUACCAAGGCGACGAUCAGUAGCCGGACUGAGAGGUUGAUCGGCCACAUUGGGACUGAGACACGGCCCAGACUCCUACGGGAGGCAGCAGUGGGGAAUAUUGCACAAUGGAGGAAACUCUGAUGCAGCGAUGCCGCGUGAGGGAAGAAGGUUUUAGGAUUGUAAACCUCUGUCUUCAGGGACGAAAAAAGACGGUACCUGAGGAGGAAGCUCCGGCUAACUACGUGCCAGCAGCCGCGGUAAUACGUAGGGAGCGAGCGUUGUCCGGAAUUACUGGGUGUAAAGGGAGCGUAGGCGGGAUCGCAAGUCAGAUGUGAAAACUAUGGGCUUAACCCAUAAACUGCAUUUGAAACCGUGGUUCUUGAGUGAAGUAGAGGUAAGCGGAAUUCCUAGUGUAGCGGUGAAAUGCGUAGAUAUUAGGAGGAACAUCAGUGGCGAAGGCGGCUUACUGGGCUUUAACUGACGCUGAGGCUCGAAAGCGUGGGGAGCAAACAGGAUUAGAUACCCUGGUAGUCCACGCCGUAAACGAUGAUUACUAGGUGUGGGGGGACUGACCCCUUCCGUGCCGCAGCAAACGCAAUAAGUAAUCCACCUGGGGAGUACGACCGCAAGGUUGAAACUCAAAGGAAUUGACGGGGGCCCGCACAAGCAGUGGAGUAUGUGGAUUAAUUCGAAGCAACGCGAAGAACCUUACCAGGUCUUGACAACGUAUGCAUAGCUCAGAGAUGAGUGAAAUCUCUUCGGAGACAUAUAGACAGGUGGUGCAUGGUUGUCGUCAGCUCGUGUCGUGAGAUGUUGGGUUAAGUCCCGCAACGAGCGCAACCCUUACUGUUAGUUGCUACGCAAGAGCACUCUAGCAGGACCGCCGUUGACAAAACGGAGGAAGGUGGGGAUGACGUCAAAUCAUCAUGCCCCUUAUGACCUGGGCCUCACACGUACUACAAUGGCUGUCAACAGAGGGAAGCAAAGCCGCGAGGUGGAGCGAACCCCUAAAAGCAGUCUUAGUUCGGAUUGUAGGCUGCAACCCGCCUACAUGAAGUCGGAAUUGCUAGUAAUCGCAGAUCAGCAUGCUGCGGUGAAUACGUUCCCGGGCCUUGUACACACCGCCCGUCACGCCAUGGGAGUCGGUAACACCCGAAGCCUGUAGUCUAACCGCGAGGAGGACGCAGUCGAAGGUGGGAUUGAUGACUGGGGUGAAGUCGUAACAAGGUA
rnacentral:rRNA from 1 species